rnacentral:rRNA from 1 species
GUGCCAGCCGCCGCGGUAAUACCGGCAGCCCAAGUGAUGGCCGAUCUUAUUGGGCCUAAAGCGUCCGUAGCUGGCCGGACAAGUCCGUUGGGAAAUCCACGCGCUCAACGUGUGGGCGUCCAGCGGAAACUGUCCGGCUUGGGGCCGGAAGACCCGAGGGGUACGUCCAGGGUAGGAGUGAAAUCCUGUAAUCCUGGACGGACCGCCGGUGGCGAAAGCACUUCGAGAAAACGGAUCCGACAGUGAGGGACGAAAGCCAGGGUCUCCAACCGGAUUAGAAACCCCAGUAGUCC